AUUGCUUCUUGGCCUUUUGGCUAAGAUCAAGUAUAGUAUCUUUUCAAAAACCAACUCUUUGUUUCAUUGAUCUUUUGUGUUGUUUUAGUCUCA
rnacentral:snRNA from 1 species